rnacentral:rRNA from 1 species
GACAGAGGCCCCGAGCGUUAGGCGGAAUCACUGGGCUUAAAGCGUGUGUAGGCGGAUCGUUAAGUGUCUUGUGAAAUCCCACGGCUCACCCGUGGAACUGCUGGGCAUACUGGCGAUCUUGGGCCAUUCAGGGGCGACUGGAACAAGCGGUGGAGCGGUGAAAUGCGUAGAUAUCAUUUGGAACGCCAAUGGUGAAAACAACUCGCUGGGGAAGUGCUGACGCUGAGACACGAAAGCCAGGGGAGCGAACGGG